rnacentral:tRNA from 1 species
GCCUGGCUAGUUCAGUUGGUAGAGCAUGAGACUCUUAAUGUCAGGGUCGUGGGUUCGAGCCCCACGUUGGGCA